CCCUUGCAAGCUCGCUCUCUCCUCCCAGGCGCUGCUCUGGACUCAUGACUCUGCCCGUCCACUCCAUUAUCCGCUAUUGUACCUUCGAUCAGGUCGCCAUCUACAGCACCAUCACCGAAGGUUCUGCUUAGGCAGAUGAAGGCCGUCGAAGAUCACAAGCGCAGCUUGCUAUUGUACAGGUUUAGAAUCUAGAAAGGUUGUUAAUUCCAAAUCAAUUUGGAAUCCAGUCAAAACUACUCUCAAGGACUGCUCUGAACCUCAAAUAUCGUCGGCC